UGCCCUGUUGUAGUCUUGUAACAUAUUCAGC
rnacentral:piRNA from 1 species